rnacentral:rRNA from 1 species
GCCAGCAGCCAUAUCACCCUGUAAUUGACAAUUGGCCAUCCACUGAAGCUAACCAUGUCUGAACCUGGUCAGUACCUGGAUGGGAGACCUCCUGGGAUAAACUAAGGUUGCUGCUAGAA